rfam:Anopheles sinensis unplaced genomic scaffold AS2_scf7180000696004, whole genome shotgun sequence.
AAAAUGGUGUUUUUCAACACCAUAAAAAAGCGUCGAAGAAAGUGCGG